AGCCCUGUCGUAUAAUGGUACAGUACGCCGGACUGUCGCUCCGGGGGCACGGGUUCGAUUCCCGUCAGGGUUG
rnacentral:tRNA from 1 species